rnacentral:rRNA from 1 species
ACCUUCGGGCCUCUUGCCAUCGGAUGUGCCCAGAUGGGAUUAGCUAGUAGGUGGGGUAAAGGCUCACCUAGGCGACGAUCCCUAGCUGGUCUGAGAGGAUGACCAGCCACACUGGAACUGAGACACGGUCCAGACUCCUACGGGAGGCAGCAGUGGGGAAUAUUGCACAAUGGGCGCAAGCCUGAUGCAGCCAUGCCGCGUGUAUGAAGAAGGCCUUCGGGUUGUAAAGUACUUUCAGCGGGGAGGAAGGGAGUAAAGUUAAUACCUUUGCUCAUUGACGUUACCCGCAGAAGAAGCACCGGCUAACUCCGUGCCAGCAGCCGCGGUAAUACGGAGGGUGCAAGCGUUAAUCGGAAUUACUGGGCGUAAAGCGCACGCAGGCGGUUUGUUAAGUCAGAUGUGAA